GGGCUUGUGGUUUAGUGGUAUAAUUUUCCCUUAGCAUCUGAUUGGUCUAAUCAAGCCGGUCAAUGACAUGGGAAAGGUCCUGGGUUCGAUUCCCAGCAAGUCCA